AGCAGCCGCGGUAAUUCCAGCUCCAAUAGCGUAUAUUAAAGUUGCUGCAGUUAAAAAAGCUCGUAGUUGAAUUUCGGGACCAAUAUGUCGGUCGUGCUUCGGUACGUACUGUCAUAAUUGGUUUCUCCCUUCUGAAGAACCUUGAUGUCAUUAAUUUGGUGUCUUGGGGAAUCAGGACUGUUACUUUGAAAAAUUAGAGUGUUUAAAGCAGGCUCGCGCUUGAAUACAUUAGCAUGGAAUAAUGAAAUAGGACGUUUGAUUCUAUUUUGUUGGUUUCUAGGAUCGACGUAAUGAUUAAUAGGGAUAGUUGGGGGCAUUAGUAUUCAAUUGUCAGAGGUGAAAUUCUUGGAUUUAUUGAAGACUAACUACUGCGAAAGCAUUCGCCAAGGAUGUUUUCAUUAAUCAAGAACGAAAGUUAGGGGAUCGAAGACGAUCAGAUACCGUCGUAGUCUUAACCAUAAACUAUG
rnacentral:sRNA from 1 species